rnacentral:rRNA from 1 species
GGCUCAGGAUGAACGCUAGCGGCAGGCUUAACACAUGCAAGUCGAGGGCAGCAUAAACAUUGCUUGCAAUGUUUGAUGGCGACCGGCGCACGGGUGCGUAACGCGUAUGCAACCUACCCAUAACAGGGGGAUAACACUGAGAAAUUGGUACUAAUACCCCGUAACAUCAGAAGAGGCAUCUUUUUGGUUGAAAGUUCCGGCGGUUAUGGAUAGGCUCGCGUGACAUUAGCUGGAUGGCGGGGUAACGGCCCACCAUGGCGACGAUGUCUAGGGGUUCUGAGAGGAAGGUCCCCCACACUGGAACUGAGACACGGUCCAGACUCCUACGGGAGGCAGCAGUGAGGAAUAUUGGUCAAUGGCCGGGAGGCUGAACCAGCCAUGCCGCGUGAAGGUCACGGCCCUAUGGGUCUUAAACUUCUUUUGUAAGGGAGCAAUAAGGUUCACGUGUGGACUGAUGAGAGUACCUUACGAAUAAGCAUCGGCUAACUCCGUG